AGACCAGGGGAGCACACUCCAUAAGCGAGUUUACAGAUCGCCGCCUAAAAUUCAGCCACCUGACC
rnacentral:tRNA from 1 species